GGACCGCUUAAACCCAGGGGGUGGGGACAAAGUGUAAUAUUUUCGGGAUAAAAUCGACAGCCUGAUGAUUGCAUACUUCCCAUGUGUGCCUGGUGACCCUUUGCCCAUCAGGUGGACCCGGGAUACAUUUCUAUUUAGCACCCAUGAUCAAGCGACCUCAAAAUCCCCCUUUUACUUGUGGCAUCCAGAGUUUACCAUAUCACUGGAGCUGAAACUCUUGAAAUGCACAUAAUCUGACCUCACCUUCCUGCAUUCCUGGACUGUAAACACAUACACUGUGACGCUACAAAUGUUACCAAGUAAAUGCAUACAAAUACCACUAGAUGUCUUUAAACUAGACUGUUCUGUUGAAAAUAAACAUAGCAAGACCUUUUCUAGAGUUUCUAUAAAUGAAGCAACACCUAAUACCUCAAUAAAACCCAGUCACUCAUGUUGACCACUAUGACGUACCGCAUGCCAAACUUCACCCUGGAGCAGAAGCUGUUUCUGCUUCGGAGAAUCCAUGCGGUGGUAGACACGGUCCAGGACUUUCGGAAAGACACCAACACUACUGUGCACCGGAAUGCUGUGUGGGCAGAGCUGGCUCAGGCCUUCAAUGCGGCGUUCCCGAGUCGACCACCCAGCAGCAUCGGCUCUCUAAAGACACUGUGGAAAAGACUGAAGGUCGAGUGUCGUGUAGCCCUGCAGAAGAGACAGGAGCAGCAGGCCGCUGGGCUCCCAGUGUCUGCCCUCACUCAGGUGCAAAGAGAAGUGAUCGCCCUCGUACCAAACCUGAUCUCCUGUCUGGAGGAGGUGGAUGGAGACAGCAGUUAUGCCUCCGUUAGGGGCGGCUCACCUGGAGCAGUGAUGGGGCUUUCAGGCACUAAUGGGAGCGAGCAUGAAGAUGCUGACCACAGUCAAAAUGAUGAAGUAGACAGUAAGGAGAACUUGGCCAUUGAGCUUGGCUUAUCUUCUCCUACUCACCCACCUGUCAACUCUGGUAUUCCUCCGGGCUCUUCCUCCUCACCUCUCCACUCACAUUCACUGUCCUCCAGAUCCAGUCGUCCCUCCUUCAUCUACUCAACCCAUCCAGGAAGCACCUCAGGCCACGGAUCAGGGGCGAGGGCUGCAAACUUUGAUUCGGUACACAGAGAGCCUGCGGUGGCGCGCGGAUCAGUGGAGAAUUCGUUCCCGCCGGCGGACUCUUUUACCUCAGACUCUAAAUGGGAGGCACGUCGACAGGAGCUGUUUGAGCAGGAGCACCAGCAGACCAUGAGCCUGUUACUGCUGCAGCAGUGUGUGUGGGAGGAGAAGAGGAAAGCGGUCAGACAGAAGGAGAAGGCCGCUCGAGCCAAGAAGAGAUAUUACCAAGCCAAACUCCGCAAGAUCGGCGCGGGUCAUUCGCCUUCCAGUAGCGACAGCGAUGAUAACGAACAACACCCACGGACAUGAGUUUCAGAUGUUUACGACGUCUUAGAUAUGUUUACUUUCUUUUUGAAAGUCAUCUUUUUUAUUUUAAUAAUGCUGUUUGUUUACAAAACUUUUGAUUGUGAUGUUUGGGAAUGUGUCGUGUAUCAUAUGAAGGGGCGUUCAAGCAAGCAGGCUCAAAUAGCCAUCCACAGUAAUCUCACUGCCUUUUAUACUAUGGGGCCGUCGAAUGCCUGAUUAUGAUUGGCUGAUGAUCCUUCUAAGGCAGGGGUGAUGAACUCAGUUUUUGGAGGGCUGUAGCUCUGCACAGUGUAGUUCCUACUCUAAUUAAAAACACCUGACUGAUCAUACUAAUAGACUGAUUUCACAUGGUGGCCAUUUUAAUAGCAAAAGCGAGGCAGCGGUGAGAAGAAACCUGGAAAUAUCGCCUGGAGUCACACAGGAAUGGCGCUUGCGAUGGCGUAUUGUUGUGUACCUGGCUGUAUGUCUUAUCAGCGAAAAGUUAGUGAACCGAGUUCAUAAUUUCACUGCUUUUCGGCUGACCCGAAGGUCCAUUCUGAAUUUAUAGUGAAAAUAAAAAGAGAUAUCAGACCUAAUUUUCAGCUAAGUUAAGUGAAAUGGCAUUAGUUAGCUAACGUUUUCCUCCCCAAACACACAUUUUAGAUUCUAUUUAUCAAACUCAAGUUAAUGAACUCAUUCUUUUGCUAUAUUAGACCUGUCAAGAUACUUACGAAUUUAAGCAUUGAAAUAAAUUUAAAAAACGUAAAU
rnacentral:lncRNA from 1 species